ACAUUUUUAAAAGAUUUGGAGACCUCUCAAAUGUGUAACGGCACAGAAUUUGAUUGUCAGAAGUCAUCAGAAACAUGCACAGUAUUUUUGAAAGCUGAUGAACAAUAUAAAAAACAGGCGGGGUUAUAUAGGUGUGAUGCAUGUAAACAAGUAAAAAAAAAUUUCAUAAUCAAUUGUACCGACCUAAACGAGAUGUCCAUGAUUAUAACAAAAAACUCAAGCUUGAGCUGAAUUCUGUCAAGAAAAAGUGUAGUCGUCUCAGUAAU